rnacentral:rRNA from 1 species
CCUACGGGUGGCAGCAGUGAGGAAUAUUGGUCAAUGGACGCAAGUCUGAACCAGCCAUGCAGCGUGCAGGAAGACGGCUCUAUGAGUUGUAAACUGCUUUUGUACGAGGGUAAACGCAGAUACGCGUAUCUGUCUGCAAGUACCGUACGAAUCAGGAUCGGCUAACUCCGUGCCAGCAGCCGCGGUAAUACGGAGGAUUCAAGCGUUAUCCGGAUUUAUUGGGUUUAAAGGGUGCGUAGGCGGUCGGAUAAGUUAGAGGUGAAAGCCUGAGGCUCAACUUCGGAAUUGCCGCUGAUACUGUUAGGCUAGAGAGUAGCUGCGGUAGGCGGAAUGUAUGGUGUAGCGGUGAAAUGCUUAGAGAUCAUACAGAACACCGAUUGCGAAGGCAGCUUACCAAGCUAUGUCUGACGUUGAGGCACGAAAGCGUGGGGAGCAAACAGGAUUAGAUACCCCAGUAGUC